AGAGGACUUGAAUACCAUAUAUCACUAUUGAAUGCCCCAUCAUCCUGUUUAUAGACUUAUACAAGGCUGGAACACCUGGAGGAACUGACUCCUCCACCGAGCCACCCUUUCUCAAGUCCAGCUCUCUUCAGAGCUGCACCACAAGAGCAGAAGUGGUCAAGAUGAGAAGAGGCUUGUCCUGUGCUUCUACCUUCAUUUAGCCUGCUUUUGAUUCCUUCAUCAAGCAUUAACUUGGAGAAGAUGCUGUUUCUUUUAAUAUCAGUGAAUCUCACAUUACUUAAAUUACCAUUUUCACGGUUAACAUUCACCCCAUAUUACCAGUAAUAUGUCAAAUCUUCACAACUAGGAUUAUGUGGGAAAUGGAUUACAGGCAGACAACAGUUUCAAGACCUGUCAUUCAUCUUCUCUAGA